rnacentral:lncRNA from 1 species
UAUAAGCCUGCUCGAUAUUAGGCAUGUGAGCUGCUUCUCAAUCACUUUGAUUGGCCACCCGUAGACUAUUCUGGCGGCAGCAUUUUCAUGUGAUAUAAAUUCCCACGUCCAAUUUAAAUUUUUAGUCAAAAAGAAAGCAUAAUGAUUUUAUAUUUAAAUAUGAGUCAUUUUUGGGUUCAUCUUCUAAGGUGAACCUAGGUUUCAUAUUUCACCUACCAAUAGGAUUUCAUUAUUUCAAAUUCGAUAUCUUUUAAAAAAAGAAACAAAAUAUUCUCAAAUUAUAUUAUGUUUUUAAAAUAAAAAAGUAAAAAAAGAUAAUAGUUACAGAAAAAAGAAUUAAAAAAAAUAUUUUUUUAAUGUUCUCAACAAAACACUAAACCCUAAAUCCUAAUCCCUAAACCCUAAAUCCUAAACCCUAAACCCUUGGAUAAACCCUAAACUCUUGGGUAAACCCUAAACCCUUGGGUAAACGCUAAACCCUUAGAUAAAUCCUAAACUCUAAAUAAAAAUACUAAAACCAUAAACGCUUGAAUAUUUUAGUGUAUAGUGAUUCUGAUUUAGAGUUUAGAAUUUAUCCUAGAGUUUAGGAUUUAUCCUAGAGUUUAGGGUUUAUCCAAGGGUUUAGGGUUUAGGGCUAAGGGUUUAGGGAUUAGAAUUUAGGGUUUAGGGUUUAAUGUUAUGCUGACGACGUAAAAUAUUUUUUUUUGUAAUUAUUACUAUUUUUUUUACCUUUUAAUUUUAAAUAUAUAAUAUAAUUUGAAAAUAUUUUGUUUUCUUUUUUAAAAGAUAUCAAAUAUAAAAUAAAACAAUUCUAUUGGUUGGUGAACCUAGAAGUUCACCCUAGGGAGUGGACCUAAGAAUAAGUCUUUAAAUAUAAAGUGUUUUUUGGUGACAAUAUCGAAGUUUUAUUACCAUUUUC